GUAGGGAAUAUUGGACAAUGGGGGGAACCCUGAUCCAGCCAUGCCGCGUGGAGGAAGACUGCCCUCUGGGUUGUAAACUCCUUUUAUAUGGGAAGAACCGUCCUCAUUAAUGAGUGACCUGACGGUACCAUAGGAAUAAGCACCGGCUAACUCCGUGCCAGCAGCCGCGGUAAUACGGAGGGUGCAAGCGUUAUCCGGAUUCACUGGGUUUAAAGGGUGCGUAGGCGGAUAAAUAAGUCAGUGGUGAAAUCAACGGGCUCAACCUGUUAACUGCCAUUGAUACUGUGUAUCUUGAAUAUGAGAGAGGUAGGCGGAAUGUUGCAUGUAGCGGUGAAAUGCUUAGAUAUGCUACGGAACACCGAUUGCGAAGGCAGCUUACUAUUUCGUAAUUGACGCUGAGGCACGAAAGCGUGGGUAGCGAACAGGAUUAGAUACCCGUGUAGUCC
rnacentral:rRNA from 1 species